rnacentral:rRNA from 1 species
CGUAGCACUUCCUUUUACACUAUUUUGGAAACAUAAGGACUCAAUCGCAUGGAUAUGUAAAAUACAGGAUUUCCAAUCCUAGCAGGAAAGGGAGGGAAAGGGAUACUCAAUUUAAAGUGAAUAAACAGAAUUCCAUACUUGAUCUAAUAGAUAUAUAUAGAAUUCUACGAAAACCCGUAUUCGAUGAAAGUCGUAUGUAUGGCUUAGAGGGAGAUCUUUCAUAUCUUUUGAGAUCCACCCUACAAUAUAGGGUAAAAAAGCCAAAAUAAGUGAUUUUAGCUCUUAUAAAAAGAAAACGGAUUCUUGAACUCCUUUUACGCUCAUGUCACGUCGAGGUGUUGCAGAAGAAAAAACAGCCAAAUUCCAUCCAAUUUAUCGUAAUCGACUAGUUAACAUGUUGGUUAAUCGUAUUCUGAAUUCUCUUGUUGAGAACCCUGUGAAUUGAUUAAAACCUCAUAUUCAUACUAGAACGAUGAUGAUUCAAGAAAAAAUCCUAAGUUAAUUCAAGGAUUCCCCGAGUAAGAACCUUUGUACCAUCCCUUAUUCCAUGAAUAGAUAGACUGACUAUAAAUUCAAAGAAAUAUUUAUCUUUUGGUCGAAAUCAAAAUUUAAAAUUCUAAUUCUUUGAAAAUUUUUUUGGAAUCUGGAUACAAGAUCUGAACAUUAAGUAUGAAUCAUAGUUCAAAUAUUUAUUAAUCUAUUUCGUAUGCUUCAUGUUCCAGAUACCAUAAUGAAUCUCUGAUGAAGUAGACCCAUUUCUAUCAAGAUAACAGACCAUUUUUUGUACUAUCAAUAGGAUCGAUUAGAACAAAUCACCUACUCAUAUUUUGAAAUGCAAAAACAAAGAAAUUCCGCGAUCGAACUCCCAAGCUCGGAAUCCGAGCUCUAAAUGAUUCAUUUUGUAUAACUUUGCGGUUUUCUAUAUUUAAGUCAUUGAAAUUUCAUCCAAUAAAAUAGAAGAAUUAUAAAUCUCCAAAAUAAUUUUACCCUCCCUAAAUGACCGCUCAGUGAUAAAGGAGGUAGGGGUACAGAGACAGCCAGGAGGUUUUCCUAGAAGUAGCCACUCUUGAAAGAGUUCGUAAUAGCUGACUGAUCGAGCGCCCUUGCGCUGAAGAUGAACGGGGCUAAGCGAUCUGCCGAAGCUGUGGGAUGUAAAAAUACAUUAGUAGGGGAGCGUUCCGCCUUAGAGACAAGCCUCUGCACGAGCAGUGGUGUACGAAGUGGAAGCGAGAAUGUCAGCGUGAAUAACGCAAACGUUGGUGAGAAUCCAAUGCCCCAAAAACCUAAGGGUUCCUCCAUAAGGUUUGUCCACGGAGGGCGAGUCAGGGCCUAAGAUCAGGCCGAAGGGCAUAGUCAAUGGACAACAUGUGAAUAUUCCUGUGCUAGCAAUUGUUGGUCCCGAGAGACGAAGGAGGAUAGGUUAGGUGAAAGAUGGUUAUCGAUUCAAGAACGUAAGGUGCCCCACUUUCUCAGGGUACGAAGGGGUAGAGAAAAUGCUUCGAGCUAAUGUUCAAGUACUAGGCGCUACGGCGCUGAUGUAACCCAUGCCAUACUCCCUGGAAAAGCUCAAUGGACUGUAAGCAACAAGGUACCUAUACCUGAAACCGACACAGGUGCAUAGGUAGAAAAUACCUAGGGGUGCGAGACAACUCUCUCUAAGGAACUCGGCAAAAUAGCCCUGUAACUUCAGGGGAAAGGGUGCCUCCUAACAAAGGGAGAAGAAGUGACCAGGCCCGUGCGACUGUUUACCAAAACAUAUACCUCCGCAAAGUCGUAAGACCAUGUAUGGAGGCUAAUGCCUGCCCAGUGCCAGAAGGUCAAGGAAGUUGGUGACCUGAUGACAGGAGAGCCAGCGACCGAAGCCCUGGUGAACGACGGCCGUAAUUAUAACGAUCAUAAGGUAGGAAAAUUCCUUGUCGGGUAAGUUCCGAACUGCAUGAAAGGCAUAACAAUCUGGGAAUUAUCUCGGAGAGAGGCUCGGUGAAAUAGACAUGUUUGUGAAGAUGAGGACUACCUGCACCUUGACAGAAAGACCCUAUGAAGCUUCACUGUUCCUUGGGAUUGGUUAUUAUUGUCUUACAAUAUUUUCCAAACAUAAAUAAUCUCGAAUUAUGAAGAAAAUCUAACUCCUGAUGAGAUGAAUAAGUAUCAAGUUGCUUACUUAUAUGAUCCAUUUGAAAUACAUUUUCAAACAAACAUUUUAUGCAUAUGUGAUACGAUAUUAUCAAAUAAUCACACCUUCAACUAUGUUGAAGUUUUAAAUUGUUACGUGGAUUGCUAAGAAUGUGUGUGGUUCUUAUUGAUAAUUAAUUUCAAGAUAUUUAUAUGGCAUCCUUUAAGGAUAAAACUACAAUCAUAUUAUUGGAUUGUGAAAUUUGAGGACAUCUUUAAAGAAAUAUGACUAAUAAAUUUCAGCAUUAUUUCUUUAUAAGUAAGGUGAAUCUGGUGUGCAAUAAUAUCGAUCAAAUGUGAUACAUAAUCUUGAAGAUUUAGUUACAAAGACAUACCAAUUUAUUAGUUUAAUGAUAUUUUAAACAAAGGAGUAUAUAAAACAUAAAUGAAUAGUGUACUCUUUUUCCUUCACUAGACAUUUUUCUCCCAUAGGGUUUCUUCUCUAGCAAGGUUUUAACGAGACAUAUUUUUUAUGUUAUGGACAUCCAAUGGGGGUGUUAUGAAACUAAUGAAUAGAUAGUGGAUGUCCGAAUACAUUCCGUGAAGAGAACUAUAACUACCAAAACCUAAUUCUAAUUAG